GCUGCGAUGCUGUAGUUGUCAUCUGAAUCAUUUGAACUCCUUCAUGAACAACUUAACGAAAGGAGAAAAAAAUCUCAAGUGAUCUCUCCACUUGUUCAAUAUAUACGUUGCAGUGAGAUCUUUCAAGAACCAACAAGAUGGAGAAUCAAGAACAGGAGCUUACCAUACAGUCUUGAGGACAACCAAAGCAGGUCAGUUUGGAACUUACUGUUUUGUUCAGAUCUUCACUACCCUAGCGAAGAGUUGGUUGAGGUAGA
rnacentral:lncRNA from 1 species